rnacentral:rRNA from 2 species
UACGAGGGGGGCUAGUGUUGUUCGGAAUCACUGGGCGUAAAGGGAGCGUAGGCGGGAGCCUAAGUUGGGUGUUUAAUUCCGGGGCCCAACCCCGGGCGUGCACUCAAAACUGGGUUUCUUGAAUAGGGGAGAGGUCGGUGGAAUUGGAGGUGUAGCGGUGGAAUGCGUAGAGAUCUCCAAGAACACCCGUUGCGAAGGCGGCCGACUGGACCCAUAUUGACGCUGAGGCUCGAAAGCAUGGGGAGCAAACAGG